GGGCAUGUAGCGUAGGGGUUAUCGCGUUCGCUUUGCAUGAAAAUCAAUCAGUAUUGCGAAAGGUCUCCGGUUCAAAUCCGGACUUGUCCA